CAGCAGCCGCGGGAAUACGAAGGGGGCUAGCGUUGUUCGGAAUUACUGGGCGUAAAGCGCGCGUAGGCGGACAUUUAAGUCAGGGGUGAAAUCCCGGGGCUCAACCCCGGAACUGCCUCUGAUACUGGGUGUCUAGAGUUCGGAAGAGGUAAGUGGAAUUGCGAGUGUAGAGGUGAAAUUCGUAGAUAUUCGCAGGAACACCAGUGGCGAAGGCGGCGACCUGGUCCUUGACUGACGCUGAGGCGCGAAAGCGUGGGGAGCAAACAGGAUUAGAUACCCCUGUAGUCCCUGUCUCUUAUAC
rnacentral:rRNA from 1 species